ACAAUAUUGUCCGCCAGAGAACUACAAGCGAAAAACUAGAAACUCCAAGGACUUGGCGGUGCCCCACAUCAACCUAGAGGAGCCUGUCCUAUAAUCGAUACCCCACGUUAAACCUUACCAUCUUUAGCCCUCAGCCUAUAUACCGCCGUCGUCAGCCUACCCCGUGAGAGAAAAAUAGUAGGCAAGACAGUUAUCAACUAACACGUCAGGUCAAGGUGUAGCACACAAGAUGGAAGAGAUGGGCUACAUUGUCUACCACAGAACACACGAAUGACACAAUGAAACAUGUGCCUAAAGGUGGAUUUAGUAGUAAGAUAAACAAGAAAUGUUAUCUUAAACCCGCUCUGGGGCGCGCACACACCG
rnacentral:rRNA from 1 species